rnacentral:rRNA from 1 species
UACGUAGGCAGCGAGCGUUGUUCGGAGUUACUGGGCGUAAAGAGUGCGUAGGCGGUUUUCUAAGUUUGGUGUGAAAUCUCCCCGCUUAACUGGGAGGGUGCGCCGAAGACUGGAAGGCUUGAGUAUGGGAGAGGUAAGCGGAAUUCCUGGUGUAGCGGUGAAAUGCGUAGAUAUCAGGAGGAACACCUGCGGUGUAGACGGCUUUCUGGACCAUUACUGACACUGAGACACGAAAGCGUGGGUAGCAAACAGG